rnacentral:rRNA from 1 species
UACGGAGGGUGCGAGCGUUGUCCGGAAUCACUGGGCGUAAAGCGCGUGUAGGCGGCCCUGCAAGUCGGAUGUGAAAUCCCACGGCUCAACCGUGGAAGUGCAUUCGAAACUGCAGGGCUAGAGUCCUGGAGAGGAAGGUGGAAUGCUUGGUGUAGAGGUGAAAUUCGUAGAUAUCAAGCGGAACACCGGUGGCGAAGGCGGCCUUCUGGACAGUGACUGACGCUGAGACGCGAAAGCGUGGGGAGCAAACAGG